rnacentral:rRNA from 1 species
UGGUGGAGUGAUUUGUCUGGUUAAUUCCGUUAACGAACGAGACCUCAGCCUACUAAAUAGUACUGCGAAUGCUUUGCAUUCGUAUGUGACUUCUUAGAGGGACUUUCGGAUACCAGCCGGAGGAAGUUUGAGGCAAUAACA